ACUACGGGUGGCAGCAGUGGGGGAUAUUGCACAAUGGGGGAAACCCUGAUGCAGCGACGCCGCGUGAGUGAAGAAGUAUUUCGGUAUGUAAAGCUCUAUCAGCAGGGAAGAAAAUGACAGUACCUGACCAAGAAGCCCCGGCUAACUACGUGCCAGCAGCCGCGGUAACACGUAGGGGGCAAGCGUUAUCCGGAUUUACUGGGUGUAAAGGGAGCGUAGACGGGGUUGUAAGUCUGAAGUGAAAGCCCGGGGCCCAACCCCGGGACUGCAUUGGAAACUGUAUAGCUGGAGUACAGGAGGGGCAAGCGGAAUUCCUGGUGUAGCGGUGAAAUGCGUAGAUAUCAGGAGGAACACCAGCGGCGAAGGCGGCCUGCUGGACUGAAACUGACGUUGAGGCUCGAAAGCGUGGGGAGCAAACAGGAUUAGAUACCCGGGUAGUC
rnacentral:rRNA from 1 species